GCUUUGGUCAAAAAUACAUUUGGUAACAGCCAUAACUUGAUUAAUUUUGAUGAAGGAUGUCCAAUGGAAAUAAAAACAUCAAGGAAGAGAUGAAAUGAUAGAAGAAAAAGAAAACAGAACAGAACAACUAUAAAACCACUGAAGUUCAGCAGUGUCUGAAAAACACAGAUAAACAUUCCUGAUGCAAUAGCAGAAGAUCUGAGACAAUAUAAAAUGGACUACAAGAAUGUUUGGGAAGGAGAGAAGUUAAUGCUCCUUUUGAUCAUCAUCCUAAUUCAUCUCCUAAAAUGUGAUACUGCAACGAACCCUGCUACAGAAUGUUCUUACCUGGCUAGUUAUCUUGCUGAAAGCAUCUUGCAGUUUGCCAUGCACAACUGCCAACUUCUUGAAGUCACGGUUGGCUUCAUGGAUAGGAAUGAGGAUCUUGUAGGUUUCAUUGACAGCUUCAUAAAGUCCACCCUGGGAAGAAAUGAAGAAAGAAUUCAGAGGGCAUGGAACUUCCCAUCAGGACAGCUCUGACAACUAAGAAGCAAGUAGCAAGGUGGCUAAUAGGGGAAAUGAGGGACAACUGGUAUGUAGCAGCAGUCAGUGCUUCAACUAGCUGGAUAGGUAGCAGGUAUGCCAAAAAUAGUACGUUGAAGAAGACUGGAUAUGCUUCUCUUCUAAGGAAUGUACCAAGACUGAUAAAGGCUACUUGAGGAAUAAUUUGCUGUCCCAUGGAAGAAAACAUCUAAUUGUUACUAUUAUACAACUAUUUUCUGUCCUGAUGCUGGAAAUGUAUUGUGCAAAGUAUAAUUAACUGAAAUGUAAGAUUUUUUGUUAUUUUAAAAUUUAUUUUAAGGCAUGCUUUAGGAAUAAAAUGGAUGAUACCCUUA